GACGAACGCUGGCGGCGUGCUUAACACAUGCAAGUCGAACGGACAGGCCCUGCUUUUGUGGGGUGCUCGAGUGGCGAACGGGUGAGUAACACGUGAGUAACCUGCCCUUGACUUUGUGAUAACUUCAGGAAACUGGGGCUAAUACCGGAUAGGAGCUCCUGCUGCAUGGUGGGGGUUGGAAAGUUUCGGCUGUUGGGGAUGGACUCGCGGCUUAUGAGCUUGUUGGUGGGGUAGUGGCUUACCAAGGGUUUGACGGGUAGCCGGCAUGAGAGGGUGACCGGGGUCCAUAGGACUGAGAUACGGACCAGAAGCGUACGUGAGGCAGCAGUGGGGAAUAUUACAGAGUGGGCGGAAGUCUGAUAUAAAGGCGCCGCGUGCGGGAUGAUGGCUUACGAGUUAAGAACCGAUUUCGCAGGAGACGAAGCGUGAGUGACGGUAAUUGGUAAAGAAGCACCGGCUAACUACGUG
rnacentral:rRNA from 1 species